GAUCCUGGCUCAGAUUGAACGCUGGCGGCAUGCUUUACACAUGCAAGUCGAACGGCAGCACAGGGAGCUUGCUCCCGGGUGGCGAGUGGCGCACGGGUGAGUAAUACAUCGGAACGUGUCCUGUUGUGGGGGGAGUAACUGCUCGAAAGGGUGGGCUAAUACCGCAUGAGACCUGAGGGUGGAAAGACGGGGAGGUCGCAAGAACCUCCGCGGCAACCUAGGAGGCGGCCGGACUGCCGCUAG
rnacentral:rRNA from 1 species